AAUCUUCCAUUGGAAAACCCUUGAUAGGUUUGAACCUCUUCGGUUUCCUUUUUGAGUUUUCUCACGAGCUUCUUCACCACCUCUUCUUGUGGAAUCAGGAAAUGGCUGGUAAAUCCAUUCUGAUCCUCCUUCUGGGUGUGGUGAACCUCUUGCUCCUCUUUAGUCUGACUCGUCUCCGGUUGAUCCAUCGGUCAUCUCCGAAUCCUCAGAACUAAAGACCUCUUCU
rnacentral:lncRNA from 1 species